ACCAUCUUGCCGUCGAAGCUUGGGUUUUCCACGAAGAUCAUUUCCCCUAAGGCCUUGCAUUCCAAUUUGCUGUGUGGAGGCCGAAUCGACGAAGAACAUCUUUGGGUCCGAAGCAAUUUUCUGGGCAAACUUCAUCAGCUUAAUCCGAGCUCUUAAAGGACGAGAUACUGACUCAUCGCUCGACGAGGAUCCUUACGCUUGGAUACCACGCUAGCCGUAUACUUCUGCAGAGUAGCUGGUUCGGCAUAGUAGGAUUCGGGGCAUAGCAUCUGCUGCUGUUGUUUUCAUUGUAGGUUAUCUGUUGAACCUACCUGUAUUGUUAUUUUCUUCUUCCUCUUUUAGAUUGCUCUGAUAACCUGUUGGGGAUAAAUAAUGUAAAGGUUGGAAGAUACUUUGGUGUAAUUAAGAAUAUGUUAUUUUCGGAUUUCAGUUGCUUAUUGUGGAGUUGUUGGAUUUUGGGGAGCAGGGUGGCUCCAGGAUAUUAUGGAUGAUUGUUAGAAGUGUGAUUGUAAUUCUACAGGUUGGGUAGUCCAUUUUUAGGGGUGACUCUGCCGAAUUUUCGGUAGAGUUAUUCCUAAGGUGGG